rnacentral:rRNA from 1 species
UACGAAGGGGGCUAGCGUUGCUCGGAAUCACUGGGCGUAAAGCGCACGUAGGCGGAUUGUUAAGUCAGGGGUGAAAUCCUGGAGCUCAACUCCAGAACUGCCUUUGAUACUGGCGAUCUUGAGUCCGGGAGAGGUGAGUGGAACUGCGAGUGUAGAGGUGAAAUUCGUAGAUAUUCGCAUGAACACCAGUGGCGAAGGCGGCUCACUGGCCCGGUACUGACGCUGAGGUGCGAAAGCGUGGGGAGCAAACAGG